ACAGGGCAGAGCGACGCGGCUCAAGGCACGCCGGGAGUUGUAGUCCAUGAAUGGGCCUACCCUCUACCCUUUCCCUGAGAUUUCGCCCUCCCAAUGUGACCGGAGACGCUCAGAUCACGGAUGCAGUUGGUACUCCCAAGCUAGUUUGAUGUGGCGCGCUGGAUCCGGGAAGAGAACGGACUACAGCUCCCAGGAUCCCCUUAAGAUGGGCUUUGGGCAAAGCUCCGAUAACUGACCAAGACCAGGAAGAUAAAAACAAUGUCAGAGGCCAACUGGAGACAGGAUUUGCUUUGGGCAAAGCGUUCCACUUGCUGAAGGUUCAAGAGUUGGCAAGUCCUGUGGCCACUCCCUCCACACCCCCACCAUCAGAAGUAUAGUGAGGAGUCUGCUAGAGGAUGCCAACUUCUGGGAUUAUCCUCUAGGCAUAGUGGUGGGCCCAUACAGAAAAUUCUUGGACAGCUUUUCCUGGAAUGUUUCUACUAACAACCCAUCUCAAACAUGAGAUCCCUUUACAGCAGAUCCCAAAUGCAGAGCUGUCUGCCUGGAGCUCAGUUCCCUCAGAAUCCUCCACUGGGGGUUGAAUGGACAAUGCUUACCUGGGAAAUACACUGAGGAGCUGCCAGGCUUUGGUGCGCUGUGCUCCUGGUUUAUUUCUAUCCUUUCCUAGGCAGAGGCACCUUUUUGGUGUCAUUUAAAUUCCCAUAGCUAGAACCU
ensembl:lincRNA 1700022N22Rik RIKEN cDNA 1700022N22 gene